GACGAACGCUGGCGGCGUGCCUAAUACAUGCAAGUUGAGCGCUGAAGGUUGGUACUUGUACUAACUCGACGUUUAGCGCACGUGUGAGUCACGCGUGGAACCUCCCUCUUUGCGCGGGGUACCUCAUUUGGAACCUAUUGCUAAUCCCGCAUAAGAACUUUAAACACAAGUUUUAAGUUUUAAAGACGCAAUUGCUUCACUCAAAUAUCACCCCGCGUUGUUUUAGCUAGUUGGUGAGGUAAAGUCUCCCCAAGGCGAUGACACAUAGCCGACCUGAGAGGGUGAUCGGCCACACUGAGACUGAGACACGGCCCAAACGACUACGGGAGGAAGCAGUAGGGAAGCUUCGGCAAUGGACGGAAGUCUGACCGAGCAACGCAGCGUGAGUGAAGAAGGUUCUCGGAGCGUAAAGCUCUGUUCGUAGAGAAGAACGUGGGUGAGAGUGGAAAGAUCAGAAAGUGACGGUAACUACCCAGAAAGGGACGGCUAACUACGUG
rnacentral:rRNA from 1 species